GAGGGUAUAGCUCAGUGGUAGAGCACAUGCUUAGCACGCACGAGGUCCUGGGUUCAAUCCCCAGUACCUCCA
rnacentral:tRNA from 1 species